UACGUAGGGAGCAAGCGUUGUCCGGAAUCAUUGGGCGUAAAGCGCGCGUAGGUGGCCCCAUAAGUCCGCUGUGAAAGUCAAAGGCUCAACCUUUGAAAGCCGGUGGAUACUGUGGGACUAGAGUACGGAAGAGGCGAAGUGGAAUUCCUGGUGGUAGCGGUGGAAUGCGUAGAGAUCCGGAAGAACACCGGUGGCGAAGGCGGCCUGCUGGGCAGUGGCUGACG
rnacentral:rRNA from 1 species